rnacentral:rRNA from 1 species
CCUACGGGAGGCAGCAGUGAGGAAUAUUGGUCAAUGGCCGAGAGGCUGAACCAGCCAAGUCGCGUGAGGGAAGACGGCCCUACGGGUUGUAAACCUCUUUUGUCGGGGAGCAAAGCGAACCACGUGUGGUUCAUUGAGAGUACCCGAAGAAAAAGCAUCGGCUAACUCCGUGCCAGCAGCCGCGGUAAUACGGAGGAUGCGAGCGUUAUCCGGAUUUAUUGGGUUUAAAGGGUGCGCAGGCGGAGGUGCAAGUCAGCGGUCAAAUUGCGGGGCUCAACCCCGUACUGCCGUUGAAACUGCAUCCCUUGAGUGCGCGAGAGGUAUGCGGAAUGCGUGGUGUAGCGGUGAAAUGCAUAGAUAUCAUGAAGAACUCCGAUCGCGAAGGCAAGUGUCCGGGGUGCAACUGACGCUGAGGCUCGAAAGUGCGGGUAUCAAACAGGAUUAGAUACCCUUGUAGUC